UACGAGGGGGGCGAGCGUUGUUCGGAAUUAUUGGGCGUAAAGGGUGCGUAGGCGGUUUGGUAAGUCUUGUGUGAAAUCUACAGGCUCAACUUGUAGUCUGCACGAGAAACUGCCGGGCUUGAGUAUGGGAGAGGUGAGUGGAAUUCCUGGUGUAGCGGUGAAAUGCGUAGAUAUCAGGAGGAACACCUGUGGCGAAAGCGGCUCACUGGACCAUAACUGACGCUGAUGCACGAAAGCGUAGGGGAGCAAACAGG
rnacentral:rRNA from 1 species